UUUAUAUUUUUGAACAUUAAAAACAAUGGAUGCAUGGUACCCCGCAAUAUAGAGACUGACAGCACUUGUAAAAUGCAGUAAAUAUCACUGAGACAAAUAAUAAGAAUGUCAGAGGGAAGAAGAAAUGAAGCCAAGUGCUAAUAAGUACAAUAUAGCUUAAAUUAAAAGAUUAACAGGAGAAAAUUUUCAAAUGAUAAUUUUCUAGGAAAAGGAGAUAACUCAGUUUUUGUCAGGUUAAUUUACAAAGUGAUGGGCUUGAGUGAAAAAAAAUACCAAAUUCAAGGGGCAGAAAAACCCAGUGAUUAAGUCCACAAAUCCUAGGUUAAAAACACCUGGGCUGUAAUUCUAGAUCUGCUACCUAUUUAUCAGAAGUGUAACCUUGAACAGCACACUCAACUCCUCUUAACCUCAUUUUUCUGUACAAUAGAAAUGACAAUAAUAGUACCCCAUAGACUUAAAGAAUCAAAAGUGUAUGUGCAUGCCUGUGUGUGGCUGGGAGCGUGGAAGAGCAUCUGGAGAAAGAGCACUCAGAAUAGCAUUUGGUCCAAAGUAGCUAUUAUGGUCGAAUGUAACAGUUUACUGUUAUUAGAACUAGGGUAAUAUUCUACAUAAUUAUACUUUCUCUUAUGUCUUAUUAUAUAAAGGUGCAUCAUUUCUUGGCACUACUCUAUUACAGUGUCUGCACAGUUUGGAGUAACCUUCCUGGAAAAUACAUAUUUAUGUAACAUAUGAAUUCCUCAUCCCAUGUUUUACUAAAUGAGUGAGCCCUUUUCCAGAAAUGUAAAAUUGAUAGGAUUGCUUCUGGGGUUUACUUGAGCUGAACACAAGUACACUCAGAAGCAGAGGCUAAAACAUACAGCAGGUCCUUGGUCAUUUUGUUUAACGUUAUUUUGUUAUAACACUGAUGGAAAAAAUCGAUUUCCAGCAGAGGCCAAUGUCUAUGUGGAAUUGGCACGUUCUUUCCAUGUCUAUGUGGGUCUUCUCUGGGUACUCCCGUUUCCCUCCACUUCUCAACUCUCUGUGUGUUGGGUGAAUUGGCAUGUCUACAUAGGCCCUGCUUGAGUGAUUGUGGUUGGGUAUGUGAGCGCGCCCUGCGGUAGGAUGGCUUCCUGAAGAGAGCUGGUUUACACCUCAUGCCCUGAGCUCCUGGUGUAGGAUCUGGCCACCUGUGAUCCUGAACUGGAGUAAGGAGUUUUCAAUAACCUAUGGACACCGUUGAGGACUCAUUGAAUGUGGCUAUAAGUGUGGUCAAGUAAUGAAAACUGAUCAGCUGAGGGAGGAAAAAGACAAAAGUGGAUGACCAAAAUGAAGCUCCAGAAUCUUUCGAGGACUGCCUAUGUUUCCUGUUUUGGAUUAGGAAAAUGUGGCACAUAUACACCAUGGAAUACUACACAGCCAUAAAAAAUGAUGAGUUCAUGUCCUUUGUAGGGACAUGGAUGAAACUGGAAACCAUCAUUCUCAGCGAACUAUCGCAAGGAUAAAAAACCAAACACCGCAUGUUCUCACUCAUAGGUGGGAACCGAACAAUGAGAACACGUGGACACAGGAAGGGGAACAUCACACUCCGGGGACUGUUGUGGGGUGGGGGUAGGGGGGAGGGAUAGCCUUAGGAGAUAUACCUAAUGCUAAUGAUGAGUUAAUGGGUGCAGCACACCAACAUGGCACAUGUAUACAUAUGUAACAAACCUGCACAUUGUGCACAUGUACCCUAAAACUUAAAGUAUAAUAAUAAUAAAAUGUAAAAAAUUAAUUAAUUAAUUAAAAAAUAAACAACAAAUUUAAAAAAAAAAAAGAGAUACCCCCAAUACACUGCCUAUAAAUUAAGGUUAAGUGACUUUGAAUUUGUUUUGCUGUUGUUGUUUAUAAACAAAAGAAUAUUGUCUAAAACCUGUUUGAAAAUAUAAACUGUAUAAAUUAUUAAAUAUUUGGUUGUGCUUAUGCAUUUGCCAGAAGAAACAGAAAAAUGCACUUGAGAUUUGUAUUGAAACCUUACAGUGGUUUGUUUAGGAGGAAAUGGACUCAUCAUUUGACCACAUAGAAGCUAUCCAAUCAAAAAGUUUCAGGGAAAAGUAUGGUGUGUUCAUUGCAGAAUGAAAGAAAAUCAGCAGUUAAGCUGAUUUUGUUAUGACAAGCUCAAUAUGUUUCACAAGAAGAUUAUUCAGUGCUAGAAAGUCUAGAAUACCAUUGGCUUUUCCUUCCAACUAGCCAGAUGACCACCUAUAAAUGAUUAAUAACUUCAUUGUAGACAGUUAUAGAGAUUGUAACUGAAAAUAGCUACAGAAAAGACAAAGAUUCAGUGGUACUGAAGCCCAAUAAGUAAUAUUUGCCAAAUAUACCCCAUCUCUAAUUCUCAUUCAUAGGCUGAACUUCCUGUCUUAUAGUUUCUUUCCUUUUUCUGCAUUUAAAAGUUCCUUCUUUUUAAAAGUGUUGAAAAUGAAUGAGAAAAAGCUGGAUAGGAAUGAAGAGAGAACCAAUUUUGUUUCAUUAAACAUAGUAAUAAAGAAAAACAGUUGAUAGUUGAAAAGAGAAUGCCCUAAAAUCUGCAUUACAAAAAUGUUUUACCUGUGAUAUAUCUGCUUCAUACUGAUCAAGAAUUAGGGGGGAAAAAUGUAAUUUUUAAAGGAAAGGAAUUAAAGCAAUCACUUAUUUAGUUAUUCCUAGAAAGCCCCUUUAAACCUGGUUCCUCUUUUAGUCUUCCCUGUUUUGGAAAAUGGCACUAUUGAGUAUCCCUCGUCACCAACUAGGAAAAAGGCAUGAGGCUCCUCCCUUCUCUCUCAUUCAUGACUCCUCCUUUGUAUUCAAUCCAUGAAUAAGGAGUCCAAAGAAAUCUCACACUCACCUGUUGUUCUGUGUCUUCUCUGCCACUCUGCUGGUCAAGCCUCCCCAUGACUUACGUGGAUCACUGCAGAAAAUACCACAUUUUUUCUCUGAGCUUCACUCAGGCCCCAUUCAAUCUACAUCUCUGCCAUAUAAUACCGGGAUGAGCUUUCAAACUGUAAAUCACACCAUGUCCCUGCCCUAAAACCUUUCACUGGCCUCCCAUAGAUAAUGGGUAAAAAUACCAGAGGACUGUUACCUGCAACAGCUAGCCCCUGCCUACCUGUUCAAACUCAAAUACAUUGCUUUUCUCCCACUCCCACUCUCCCUCCUCAGCUCUCAUAUGUGCUAUACUUCAACUCACUAGCCUUGUGAACGUUCCUAAAAGUUCCUAAAAGAAGGCAACCAUUGCCCCUGGAAGGACUGAUUGUUUAUCCUACAGGUCUCAGCUGAAUUUCGCCUCCUGAACACCCUGUUUAAAUUGGCUCCUUACCCCAGGUCAUUCUCUAGCGUUACACUAUUUGUUUCCAUUUUAGAACUUAAACUAAAUAUUUAAUCUGUAUCCUUGCUUAUUGUCUGUUUUUUUGUUUUUGUUUUUGUUUUCUUACUAGAAUAUAAGGUCUAUACAGAUAGUGGUCAUGGUUCUUUUACUCACCUCGCAGUAUCCGUGACAUGAACGAAUCUAAGAUUAGUAUUUUUAAGGAUAGAGUUCUAACAAUGUCCAUAUUAAAAGAAGAAAUGAAACUCUGACUCUAAUUUUACUGUACUUUAAAUUAAAUAUCAAUUCAACAGAAACACGCCAAUUGACUUGGUUAGAAAAUUAGUAUUCAGGAUACAUUUACUAUCUUAGAUGGUGGUUCUUAGUCCUUCAAACACUAUGUUAGAUUCUGAUUGCCAUUUUAACUAAUUACCACAAAUUUUGUAGCUUCAAACAACACAAUUUUUUACUUGUUUAUUUUAUCAUA
rnacentral:lncRNA from 1 species